AAAAGUCACUAAGCAGCAACAGGUUCAUCUUCAUCAAGGAAUAAGUUCUGGAAUGAGUCCUCAAGCUCUGGAUUGUCAACAACAUGUUGUUCUCUCUUUUCUCCUAAUUCCCAAUCUUUUAAGCAAGUCAGCAUCUCCACAUUCUCAGGCAAUAAGUGUCGUCGUCGCUCCUCAAUUAUCCUCCCUGUCAAACUGAAACAAGACUCCGAAGAGACAGUAGAUACAGGAACAAACAUAAUAUCCCUUGCCAUUAUGGAUAAAACUGGAUAUGUUAGCUUGUGGUCACGCCAUCAGAGAAGUAUAUCAAAAUCAUCCUCAUAAGAAGUGGCAUUGUCACUGUCUAAGUAGGCUGAGAGCUCACAAAUAGCAGAUGAAGAUGAAGCAGAAGGGGUAGAGCUAGGGGGAGGACCAACAACACCUGAACUGGAAUCUCCAAAUAUUCUUCCCCAAGCUUGUUUUCU
rnacentral:lncRNA from 1 species